GUCAUGUAUAACUGACUUCUAGUGUCCUCAUGUGUUUCUGAUGGACACUACAAUAUACCAUAUAUUCAGUACCAAGCCACAGUUUGUUUUGGCGGCAAAUAAAAUAAAAUGUUAUACUUUUUGAUUGUUCUACCGAUUGCCGCAUUCUAGAUGUACCUUCUAGAAUCGAGAGUGAUUACAAAACAACCAAAUUUACGAGCUACGUUUCAGUCUACAGGCUUUGUUUACCACAGUUCACUGUUCGUCGAUCAGUAUUUAGGUUUUUUAAGCUUGUAGGUCAUGAUGGUCGAGGCUGCUGUCAAGGACGAACUAGGACAGUUUUUAAGCAAGAACAUAUCUGCAGAAUCCUUAAGUUGUGUGGAUGAUAUCGUUCUUGGUUAUAUUGCAAGUGUCCUUGAAGAACUUGGAGAGGAUCAAGAAUUUGAUGUCGAUGAUUUUGCUGAAAUAAUGGCUGCCUACAUCCCAGGGUUUGAUACAGUCUCCAGGGAACAUGUUUAUAGUUGGAUGCUUGACUUGGCACAGAAACUGGGAAAGGCCAGAACAUCAAGUAAUCUAACUGAAGAAGCUGUUUUAAUGACAGAAGAAAAUUGCCACCGUUCACCAUCCAGUUUAGAGGGAGAUGUUUUACUAGGCAAUGAUGCUGUCAAAGAGGAUCAAACAGGGAAUUCAUUGGUUCUCUUAAGUUUGGAGAGACUUUGUAUAAAUAGCGAUUUUGAUGAAAGCGGUACGGUUACACUUUCAUUGAGUUCCAGAUACAACAACAAAGAAACUGGCGUUAAUGAGCAGAAUGUGGAGAGGGAAAGUACAGGAAAUAAUGGAAGUUACAGUGAAGAGGUAUUAGUGCUAGCAGAGAUGUUUCCAGAAGCCAGUUCAUUAGAAAUAAGGAACUGUCUGAUGGUUUCCAAUGGUGACAUUGAGUCUGCAGUGCAGCUGAUGCUCUUAAAGAAAGAGAACAUUGAUGAUGAAGGCAAGGAGAAUUAUCAUCGAGUUCUAGAUUUAUCUCCAAAGUUGCAGACUGUUGUAAACCGUGGAACUAAAUGCUACAUGUAUGCGAGGGAAUUCAGUAGCAUUUUCAACAAGAGGGAAACUGGUUUUCACAGGUUCACUGUCCAAGUUCAAAAAGACAGGAGCUGCAGGAAGCGGAACAGCAAAGUCUCAAAGAACAAAUGAUGGCAAGAUAUGGGUAUGUUGAAGUCAGCCAAGAAGAAAAAACGCAUCAACCAACGCUUCGCGAACAGGGAGAAAAGAAACUGGUUCGAUAUCGCAAC
rnacentral:misc_RNA from 1 species